UACGUAGGGGGCAAGCGUUGUCCGGAUUUAUUGGGCGUAAAGAGCGUGUAGGCGGCUAGGUAGGUCCGUUGUGAAAACUUGAGGCUCAACCUCAAGCUGUCGGUGGAAACCACAUGGCUAGAGUCCGGAAGAGGAGAGUGGAAUUCCUGGUGUAGCGGUGAAAUGCGCAGAUAUCAGGAGGAACACCGGUGGCGAAGGCGGGUCUCUGGGCCGAUAUUGACGCUGAGGAGCGAAAGCGUGGGGAGCGAACAGG
rnacentral:rRNA from 1 species